rnacentral:tRNA from 1 species
AAUUUUGCGCUGUGGUAUCGCACUUGCUUUUGGAUCAAGAGGCCUCGGUUUCGAAUCCCGGGGACAAUUA